rnacentral:rRNA from 1 species
UCAGUCGACUCCUACGGGGAGGCAGCAGUGGGGAAUAUUGCACAAUGGGGGGAAACCCUGAUGCAGCCAUGCCGCGUGUGUGAAGAAGGACCUUCGGGUUGUAAAGCACUUUCAGUAGGGAGGAAGGUAGUGUAGUUAACACCUGCAUUAUUUGACGUUACCUACAGAAGAAGCACCGGCUAACUCCGUGCCAGCAGCCGCGGUAAUACGGAGGGUGCGAGCGUUAAUCGGAAUUACUGGGCGUAAAGCGCAUGCAGGCGGCCUGUUAAGUCAGAUGUGAAAGCCCGGGGCUUAACCUCGGAAUUGCAUUUGAAACUGGCAGGCUAGAGUCUUGUAGAGGGGGGUAGGAAUUUCAGGUGUAGCGGUGAAAUGCGUAGAGAUCUGAAGGAAUACCAGUGGCGAAGGCGGCCCCCUGGACAAAGACUGACGCUCAGAUGCGAAAGCGUGGGGAGCAAACAGGAUUAGAUACCCUGGUAG